rnacentral:rRNA from 1 species
AUUGAACGCUGGCGGCAUGCCUUACACAUGCAAGUCGAACGGUAACGCGGGGCAACCUGGCGACGAGUGGCGAACGGGUGAGUAAAGUAUCGGAACGUGCCCAAUAGUGGGGGAUAGCCCGGCGAAAGCCGGAUUAAUACCGCAUGAGACCUGAGGGUGAAAGCGGGGGACGUCGCAAGAGCCUCGCGCUGUUGGAGCGGCCGAUAUCAGAUUAGGUAGUUGGUGGGGUAAAGGGCCUACCAAGCCGACGAUCUGUAGCUGGUCUGAGAGGACGACCAGCCACACUGGGACUGAGACACGGCCCAGACUCCUACGGGAGGCAGCAGU